UUGUCGUACGAGUUUUUGACGCGAGUGAGUGUCGGAAUGUCAAAAAUCAAGUGUCGCGCGUUUGUGCUAAGUGUGAAUCAAAUCAAAUCGUAAAGAGGAUAUUUGGAUCUUGGAUCUCCAACGUUCGAGAGCUGCGGCCGAGUCGGAGUUGGACAGAAUGACCAGCGGCGAACGGUUGCAGUGACUCGUGUUACGAAUUGCGACACGGGACGUACGGAGAAAGGCAAGGUGCUCCGCAGAAGCAACAGGUGUGCAGUGAGAAUCUUCGAUGAGUAGAACUUCGCCAUGUAGAAGAGCUACAUCGGCCGCGGGAUCGACUUCGGCCCUCGAACCAGCGAGCAGCA
rnacentral:lncRNA from 13 species